AACGAACGCUGGCGGCAUGCCUAACACAUGCAAGUCGAACGAGACCUUCGGGUCUAGUGGCGCACGGGUGCGUAACGCGUGGGAACCUGCCCUUAGGUUCGGAAUAACUCCCCGAAAGGGGUGCUAAUACCGGAUAAUGUCUUCGGACCAAAGAUUUAUCGCCUUUGGAUGGGCCCGCGUUGGAUUAGCUAGUUGGUAGGGUAAAAGCCUACCAAGGCGACGAUCCAUAGCUGGUCUGAGAGGAUGAUCAGCCACACUGGGACUGAGACACGGCCCAGACUCCUAGGGGAGGCAGCAGGGGGGAAAUUUGGACAAGGGGCGAAAGCCUGAUCCAGCAAUGCCGGGGGGGGGAUGAAGGCCUUGGGGUUGUAAAGCUUUUUUACCCGGGAUGAAAAUGACGGUACCGGGAGAAAAAGCCCCGGCUAACUCCGU
rnacentral:rRNA from 1 species